GAUAACAUCAGUAUGCCAAACAACAGGAAGGUGGCGGAACAAAGAGUAUUGAAUCUUGCCCGUAGAUUCCAGAAAGACGAAUCCUUUCGGAAAGACUAUCAUGGCUUCAUGUGUGACGUCUUGAGGAAAGGGCAUGCAGAAAGAGUGCCAGAGGAACAACUCUCCCGGAAAGACGGAAGACUGUGGUAUAUUCCUCACCAUGGUGUCUACCACAAAAGAAAAAAGACUAUCCGGGUGGUGUUCGACUGCACCUCUUCAUUCCAAGGAACUUCCUUAAAUCGUGAGCUGUUGCCGGGUCCUGACCUUACGAACACACUAUUGGGUGUACUUCUCAGAUUCCGACAGGAACCAGUGGCAGUGAUGGGGGACAUUGAAGGAAUGUUCCAUCAAGUAAGAAUACCAAAGCAUGAUGUGGACUUCCUCAGAUUCCUGUGGUGGCCAGAUGGCGACACCAACCAACCGCUAGCAGAAUACCGGAUGACGGUGCAUCUCUUCGGAGCAGUCUCAUCACCGAGCUGUGCCAAUUUUGCACUGAAGCGGACAGCUGAUGACAAUGAAGGAAAGUGUAGCACUGAUGCUCUAAACACCAUUCGUCAAAACUUUUAUGUAGACGACUGUCUGAAAUCUGGCCCUCGGCAUGCGAUGGGACAUUGAGUCAGACACUUUCUUCUUUUCAAUCACCCCAAAACAACCAUCAGUAACCCGCAGAAGCAUUUUAUCGGUGUUAAACUCUGUAUACGACCCCCUAGGGUUCAUAGCGCCAGUAAUGCUGACAGGGAAAGGAAUACUGCAGGACCUGUGCAAGCUAAAUUGUGGAUGGGAUGAAACAAUACCAACUGCUUACACAGAGAGAUGGACGGAAUGGCUAAAAGAUCUUAACCUGAUUUCCAGCCUAAGAAUCAGGAGAUGUCUUAAGCCACAAGAUUUUGAAGUUGCUAGAGCACAGAUGCACCACUUCUGCGACGCAAGUGAGCGAGGUUACGGGACAGUCAGCUACUUGAAACUUAGCAGUAAAGUUGGACUACCUAACAUAAUGUUUGUGAUUGGGAAAUCAAGAGUUGCACCCUUAAAGGUGGUGACAACUCCACGUCUGGAGCUUGCUAGUGCAGUUCUCGCUGCUAGGAUAGACAGGAUGUUGAGGAGAGAGCUCGAGUUAACCCUCGAGGACUCAGUCUUUUGGACCGACAGUACCGCUGUCUUAAAAUACAUCCAAAAUGACGCCAGAAGGUUUCAAACCUAUGUAGCCAACAGAGUGUCCACUAUUCGGGAACUGACACACAAAUUCCAAUGGCGCCACAUAAAGACAGAACUCAACCCCGCAGACAUGGCAUCAAGAGGCAUAAAAACCGAGAAGUUCAUUCAAGAAGGACAUUGGCUGAGUGGUCCAAAUUUCCUGAUGCAACCAGAAACUGACUGGCCAGUGAUUCAAGUACCACCCACGCUGUAUGACAGUGACCCGGAGGUCAAGAAGGUGGCCAUGGCUUUCACUACAAGUAUACUGCAGAAUGAAAAGCCACUGACUCGUUUUAUUGAGCACUUCUCAUCAUGGAACAAAUUGAUCCGAUCAUCAGCCUGGAUCUUAAAAUUCAAAGAAACUCUGAGACGAAAGAAAACUAGUAACGCCUACCCAACCGGGUCGCAGCUGUCCGUGGAGGAUUUAGCCAAGGCAGAGCAAUCACUUGUGUCUUAUGUCCAACAACAAUCCUUCAAAGAUGAGGUGACCUCUCUACAAAGGGGCUUACCCAUAAAGAGAAACAGUAGGAUCUAUAGACUAGAUCCUAUCCUCCAACAUGGAAUCCUGAGAGUCGGAGGCAGACUAAGUAAGCUGGCAAUGCCAGAGGAAACCAAACAUCCUGCUAUUCUACCCAAGGACAACCACCUGUCAAAGAUACUCCUACACCACACCCAUACCUCGAUGGCUCAUUGUGGAAGAAAUCAACUUAUUGCAAAACUCAGGACAAAAUACUGGAUUCUAAGAGUAAAUUCUGCUGCAAGAAAGAUAACAAGGGACUGUGUACUUUGCAGGAGAUGGCAUGGCACAGCAAUGACACAAAAAAUGUCCGACCUACGGCUACACAGGAUAACACCUGAUUUGCCGCCCUUCACCCAUACAGGACUAGACUACUUCGGGCCCAUAGAAGUCAAGCGCGGCCGCAGCAAAGUAAAACGGUAUGGAGCCUUGUUUACAUGCCUAGCAAGCAGAGCUGUACAUCUGGAGAUGGCCUACUCAAUGGAUACAGACUCAUGUAUUUCUGCACUGCGAAGAUUCAUCUGCAGACGAGGCCAAGUGAAAGAAAUUGUUUCCGAUAACGGUACUAAUUUUGUCGGGACUGAACGAGAGCUUCGAGAAG
ensembl:lncRNA